CUUUUCUCUGGAGACCAGGCGAGACUUUUCCAGGAGGUACUUCUCAACCACAGCCCUGAAAGAGGGAAUAGAAAACACGAGGAAAGGUUUCAAGCCUCUUGCAGCUCAUCAGUGAUCUUCAUCUCUGAACCGUAUUGACUUUCAGACCAUAUAUGGAAGUUCUGCAACCGAAUCUAAAGUGGAGUGUACUUCCACUUAAGCACGCAACUCUGCCAGCAAACUUACUUCAUCAACAACAACACCUCCCUGACAACAAAGAGGCCCGCUACCCGACGGCCCAACGCGCUUCUGUUCUGGCUGAAGCUGCAGAGCAGAGCGAGUCGAUUAAUCUGCCCUCCUCUCGCACGUUACUCAUCCAUCUCUUUCUGUUUUCCCCUUUCACUCGGCCUUAUCUGUGUGCAUCUCUGCAGGUAGGAGAGCGCAGAAGGUCAGCGAUGAUAAAUGAGUGGGGGCUGGCGCAGCAUGUGCAGACUGUAAGCAACAGAAAAGACUGUUUCCAUCUAAGGGGGUGGAGUGAUUUCCAGUCCAGCUAGAAGCUACCAGGCUUCACCGAGGGGCCCAGAACGCCGCAUCGGUAUGGUGACAGAGCAGCAGUACUUUUUUCUUCAUGAUGCGCAUGUUCACAUGGUUACACACACACACACACAAAACUAAAAGCCACCGCAGGGGAAGUUGACUCAGUGAAUGCUAAAUAGGAGCCACAUUGUGUUUUCCAAAGCAACAUGCAGGGUGAAUUUGAUAUAAACGCUCAGGUGCUGAUCAGAGUAUUGGGGACAAAUGCUGAUUUCUUGACUGCACUUCCUUUUUUUUUUUAUACCUCCCCGUUUUAAAUUAGUGCAAAACUUUUUUUCUUUUUUUUUCUUUGGGUGCAGAGAAAUCAUUCAAGCGAGAUGUCACUCUAUUCUGUAACACUUUCACACUUGAGGGACACGUCAGGUAAUGGUUUCUUGUUCAUGCGUGAUGAAAGAGGUGGGCUGAAGCGUGACACCGAUUCCCUCGAGUCAAACCAGAGCUUUUUAAGACUAAUUUGCAAACUCAAGCCCUGCAAAAGCAUCAAGAUGUCUUAAACUGAAAAACUCGAAAGUUACACACUGCUGAACUCCAUUUGCGAACGAGAUGCCUUCUGAAGGUUGCGCCAGAUUUUAUGCGGUGAUAUGAAGAGUUAAAAAGGCCUAAAUACACACAAAUGCCUGAAGAUUUUGAAAACAUUUUGUCACUCAGCUUCAUAAUUAGUUAACGGGGUUCUCCAACUCCUGUUCAUGACGACUUUAAAUUAUGACUCAUUAAGAAACUGUGCAGCCAUUUUAAAUAUAAAAAAAAGAGAACAAAAACAUCGAAUUACAUUUUGAAAAUAUGCAACAACUGACUCGCAAAGGAUUGCUUGGAUACAAUGCUAGGUCAAAGUGUUUAUAGGGUCAUUAAUUAAAACUUUGCUCAGUGGCGUGAACUUUUACUGGCUUUCAUGAUGACACCUGAUGUCAGCCUGAGAUGCUAAAGCUCAGAUGAUGGUGGUGAAGAGGAGAGUCAUGAGAAGAUGCAGGAUAAUUACAAACAAUAAUGUCUUUGCCAUAUUCAACACAAUUAUUGUUUUCCUACUAUUGUGCAGCCCCAACAUAAAAGGAAUAUUUUUUUUUUUUAGUAGCUUUAGUUUGAAGUUUUGUUUUAAUUUAAAAUGACAAUUCUUCCAUAGAAAAAUGAAAACAAAUUUCCUUUAUUGGAUUUCUUCUUAAUGUUUUUGUGGCUUCAAACUAAUUUCAUUCAUCUGGGACUGAGGGGCAAAAAUUGCUCUUUGGAUUGUAAAGGUUGCCGAGUUCUGGUCUGGCACAUAAAAUACAUUAGUUUGUGGUUGCAAUGUAGUUAAAAAAAAAAAAAAAGGUGAAACAGUUCAAGUACUCUGAGUAAUUUUGCAGGAGACUAACCCCUAACCCUUAUUCAAACUUCAAUUCCUGUGCUCAGAGUAUUGAUCCUGUGGCACAAUUGAGCUCAGCGCUCAAUGCUGCUCACUGUGCCCAGUUUUCUCCCCGGAUCCCCUCCCUCUCCCCCCGCACACCAGGAGCACAAAAACCCUGGGAAAUCUCUGCACGGCCCGCACUGCUGCACCACGGAGGGAAUUACAAACAUCUCGCAGCCUCGUUCGUAUUCAAACAUGCCCAUGAGCGUGAUCCGAUCUUUAAACUCAAUUGGCUGGAGCCCUCAGUAGGUAUGAGGAAGGAGACCGAGAGCUUGCCAAGCUGUGACUGUGGAAAAUAGACACGGCCUUACGAAACGGGGGUUUGCACACAAGGAGGUUAAGAAGAAAAAGGAGGGAAAUAAAGAAAGAGAGAACGAGAGAAGGAGGGAAGGGGACACGCGGGGCCACAGCACUGUGCAGUGUGUGCGCGCUGUCGGCCACGGUUGACUCAAAUCUCCCUGCACGCCACCGCUUCAACUGAUUUAUCUGUGCUGUGAGCUGGCUUUUCUGGUAGCACUGUUCCUGGUACGUUUCCACUCGUACCGCCAGACCCACCAGUAUGAAGUCUCACAUCCCUAUUUAGCACAUAAACUUGCACACAUACACACACACACAUACACACACACACACACUGUUCUCAACAAACACAGCAGGAGGCGUGCCUCUCAAACAGCACAGAUCAAGUUGUUUGCCUCAACAAGCAACACAAACAGAGCGAGCUUUGAAUGCGCCAAAAUAUGAAGCAAAAACUAAUUCAGUCAUAAGAUCUGUGACAGAUUUAAAAGGUCAUGGAGGGAGGACAACUUUCAAGGAUUUGGAUUGAUGUCAUAUGAAACCAAUUUAUGGAUAAUUCCAACCAAAAUGCAAGAAAACAAUUAUCAGUAAAAAAUGUGCUGCUGCUAGACCUCUUUUGGAUAGCUCUGAAACUUUGAGGAGCAAACCUCAAAACGAGCCAAAGGGCUUCAGCGAAAUGUUUCCACAGGGAGACGCCAAGCGGGCUCUGACACAGACGCCUCACUACAGCACGGGCACAACAAAAGUCAAUUCAAACAUUUCAUCGGGGACGUUUUAACUGUAGGAUCUCCAAACAACAAAAAUGUUGCGAUUUGAGACACAAUUUUGAAAAAGUUCCGUGAAUUUCGGGUUAAACCAGACGUACGGGGAAGUCGGGAGAUCAAGUAUGUAAACUCUGGUAACCGGGGCUAACCUCUCACAAUACCCUGUGACAAAAUAAUCAGUGUUUGCUGUCGGACUGAAUGAGUCUUUGGUGAGAUCACAUGUUGCUGGCAGAGACUGAACUCGACCGCGUCGCUACACAGUUCCUCCUCCGCACGGCUUCUCAUCAGGUCAUCAGUUUAUGACUCCGCUUACGUCUGAACCCUCGAAGUUUCUCUCAGCUGAACUAGCAAAACCAGCUAUGCAGAGGCAAAGUCAGUGGCUUUAGUAUUGACAUUGUAUGGUAGCUGAUUAAGUGCUGCCAAAUGAGUGUUUUUGUAUGUUGGAAAAAGAUCAACAAACAAACUUCUCUUUUGAAGUUUGUGGCAAAAAGAAAAAACCCUUUAGCUGCAAAAUAGCUGUAGAUCUGUUGCAGUUUGGGGUUUUUCACAAUUAUAUUUUUUAAAAAGUAGUAUCUAAAACCAAUAUUAUAACACAUUAUGAUGCUGCUCAUUUUAGACUUAAACACCUAUUCUUCACAAUCUAAUCUUUUCACUUUAGGAGCUGUCUGAAAACUGACUUUUUUCCUAUGAUCCCACAUUUGUUUCUCUUCAAGGGACAUUGAGUUUUUAGGUAGGGAAAUUGUUUUACUAACACCCAACGGCUCCCAUGGGCUGUGUUGAAUGCCAGCAUGAUGAAAAUAAAAUAGUGGUAAUGGUGGCUGAAGAAAGAAGAAUGUAAUUGCUUCAAGAUGCAAUGGCUGACAUUAGAAAUUCAACAUAUUCUUAGCAGUAAGUGAAAAACAAAUGAUCAAGAAAGGAUUUAAGAAAAUAAACCUUUUUUUUUCUCAACAGUCAUCAUUUUUCAACUACAGAGAGAAGUUAUUUAAACAUUAACAACAGAAACCCACAAACAUUUGCAAGAAGGGUGCAGUAUUUUUGGCUGCAUAUUUAAAAUGAGUGAAACAUGCACAGAUGGGAAAACGAGCUAAAAUAUGUCCUCCGGAAAAGCUGCAGCAAACGGAGCAAAUCAAGUUAUGAGGCGUCUGUGCAUCCGUCACAGAGAGAUCAUAAUCCAAACAUGGGGGAAACAGGAACAGACAGCUUCUCUUCCUCAUUUAGCCCGCAAAAAAAAUGUAAGUAAUUUUUGAUGCACGCUUGGCAACAUCUUAAACAACGCUGGACUUUCAGCCUCGAACGUGCUGCUUUCGCUAUAUUUUUAAUUGUGUAAAUGAGCACAAGUCAAAAAGUUUAAUUAGUUUUUUAUCUUAACUUAUAUAAUUUUGAAAAAUAUAUUAUUCCAGUUCAGUUCUUAAUAGAUGAACAAUCUCAUGCUUGUAAUUUAGCUCAGAUCUGAACGUUUAACAGGAAAUUACUGUUCUGUGCUUGUAUCGUAUUCCAAAAAUUAAAAUUAAAAUUAUAUUAACAUUUGUUUUUUUUUACUGAAUCUCUACCUACUAUUAUGCAUCAAAGCAUGAAUGUUUAUUUGAUUUUAUUUAAGUCAGGAUAGCAUUUAUAGCUUUUAGAUGAUGCAUUUACAGACUUAAAAACAUAGGACUCCUUGUUUUCAUGCAUUAAUUGAAAAUGAUUAUUUUCCUUUCACUUUUAACCAGAUAAAAAUGUAAAAAUGUAAAUGCCUGAGUAAAUCUAGAACUCACUCUACUGCCGGAUUAGAGUAACUUUAAAAGCCUGAAACUGAUCUCCGGCCAUUUUCCCAGUACAUCUCUAUUUCACCUGAACAGCCCUAUAGGUGAUCAUUCACUCAGGAGUAUAAAGGUUUAAAGUGACAAGUUAAUGCACAGACACGUUAAAGGUGCAGAGCUUUAAUAGCUGGGCCAGAGCGUCGAAUGCCAACUUGCGGUCCAGAGUUUUGCCAGAUUGGAACCAUAUAAAGCUGCUCCACCCAUGCCCUGAUGAGUCCCACAUCAAACUCCAGCUUGUGGUGUGGUCACAGCACCACGAAUAGCUGUUGAAACGGCCUGCAGACCGAUGCAGCAUGUACGCUGCACAGAGCCUGUAAAGAAAAGCAUAUUCUAGCCUUCAGUGAGUUCCUAUAUGGUGUGAUUACAGGAAGGUGUUUGCGUAUAAGUGUCUGUUUGGGCGUUUAGACGAAGAAUCACGGGCACGGCAAGGCGACUUAAACGCAGUAAUGCCAGCCUUUCCCAGACUCGUACACAAUGCCACCCCCUCUCAAUAACCACUCAUGCAGGAGAGAUAAACAAUAGAUCAGCAGGCAGAAUGGCCGGCUUCUCCUCCGCACUUCCUGAACAACAAUGCGGUGCUCUGGUGUGUCCACACCCUUCAAGGCUCUGAGCUAACAGCAGAGGGAACCACUGCCUUUGCUUCCUGUGUCGUAGCCGCUUCCUGUCGAAGGGUUCCGGAUGAUAGGAACUUCCUGUCUGAAGCCGUGAGACGGAGCGGCAUGGAGCAGGCCGGCCGGGGACUUUGAACAGGAAUGUUUGCUUUACUGGGACAACAAACUUAAGUUACAGGGCUAAUGUAGGGGCCCUCGCAGAGCGGUCCCCUGAGAGAAAGCAGAAAUAUGAUUCACACUUCAGCUGUUUUACUAAUUACCUGUAAUGUUGGCUUUACUUUGCCUGCUUCUUCCUCUUUAAAAACCUGAAUUGCUAAAAUGAUUUAGUUUCAUUCUCAAUAAGAGUUUAAUCUCAUUUCAAAUGUUACUGUAAAUCCAUUCGAAGGACUACUUAUCAAUCUGUUCCUAUUAAUAGAAACGGCUACAGUCGAAAGCAACACAAAGUGCUUCACAAAAGCUACAACCAAUGAAACAAGAAUGCAAAAGAGUUACAAUUCACACCAGAAAAUCAGAACUACAAAAAAAAAAAA